CCCCGGCUAGCUCUGUUAGUAGAGCAUGAGACUCAUAAUCUCAGGGUAGUGGUUUGUGUCCCACGUUGGGCA
rnacentral:tRNA from 1 species